AUACGUAGGGGGCUAGCGUUAUCCGGAAUUACUGGGCGUAAAGGGUGCGUAGGUGGUUUCUUAAGUCAGAAGUGAAAGGCUACGGCUCAACCGUAGUAAGCUUUUGAAACUAAGAGACUUGAGUGCAGGAGAGGAGAGCAGACUUCCUAGUGUAGCGGUGAAAUGCGUAGAUAUUAGGAGGAAUACCAGUUGCGAAGGCGGCUCUCUGGACUAUAACUGACACUGAGGCACGAAAGCGUGGGGAGCAAACAGGAUUAGAUACCCUGGUAGUCCACGCCGUAAACGAUGAGUACUAACUGUCGGGGGUUACCCCCCUCGGUGGCGCAGCUAACGCAUUAAGUACUCCGCCUGGGAAGUACGCUCGCAAGAGUGAAACUCAAAUGAAUCGACGGGG
rnacentral:rRNA from 1 species